UACAGAGGUGGCAAGCGUUGUUCGGAAUUACUGGGCGUAAAGGGCGCGUAGGCGGCCUACUAAGUCAGACGUGAAAUCCCCCGGCUUAACCUGGGAACUGCGUCUGAUACUGGGAGGCUUGAGUAUGGGAGAGGGAUGUAGAAUUCCAGGUGUAGCGGUGAAAUGCGUAGAUAUCUGGAGGAAUACCGGUGGCGAAGGCGGCAUCCUGGACCAUUACUGACGCUGAGGUGCGAAAGCGUGGGGAGCAAACAGG
rnacentral:rRNA from 1 species